UGCUUUAAGAAUAAUAAUUUAAAGUAUAACCUGCUCAAUGUCAAGAAUAAAUAGCCGCAGUAUUACUGUGCUAAGGUAGCAUAAUAAUUUGCUUCUUAAUUAGGAGAUAGAAUGAAAGGUACCACAUUAAAUAUUUGUUUCUACUAACAAAACAAAAUUUAGAAUAAAGUAAAAACUCUUUUAUAUAAAAGCGGGACGACAAGACCCUGAUAAACUUAUAAUUUAGUUGGGGAAACAAAUAAAUAAAUAUUUAAUAUUAUUAUAUUCAUAACUUCAAAGCAAAAUAUAGAUCAGUUACUACAGGGAUAACAGCGUUAUUUUCUUUUAGAGCCCAAAUCCAAAAGAAAGAUUACGACCUCGAUGUUGAAUUAAUUGUUCUUUAUAGUGCAAUAACUAUAAAAGAUAGUCUGUUCGACUAUUAAAAAAUU
rnacentral:rRNA from 1 species